rnacentral:rRNA from 1 species
GCGACCCCAGGUCAGGCGAGCCACCCGCCA